UCAGUUAGGUGUGGGUUUUUGGAACUCAGUCAGUUGGGAACUGUGUUUUAAAAAGGAAGCCUCUUUGAGGAAAUAUAGUUAGAGCUUUUAAAAAGAAAAAGUCUAAGAACUAUAUUGUGAAGCCUAGAGAGUUGCUAUUUCAAUUCCAGAAGUGGAUUUAAAGAGGAUGGAUGUUUCUCUUCUGAAUGACAACCUUCCCUUAAAGGAGAACCACAGUGACAAGAGAAAGUAGAUGCCGCGGACUUGUAAUCACCCGUCAGACACAAUGUACCAAUUUUGCCCUUUCUCCGCAGUAGGAAUUGUGAGGAAAUUGGACCGAAUGGGUUCUGCAAAUUGUUUUCCAUGACAGAAGUUAAUUCUAAACGAAGUAUUCCCUGAAACAGGAACAGAGAAAACAUUUUUACAUGUCUAUCAUUUGUCCUUAGAGGACAUGAAACAAAUAUGUUUUAUAAAGCUUGGCACUGGUA